rnacentral:rRNA from 1 species
CCUACGGGAGGCAGCAGUGGGGAAUAUUGCACAAUGGGCGAAAGCCUGAUGCAGCAAAGCCGCGUGAGCGAUGACGGCCUUCUGGUCGUAAAACUCUGUCCUUAAGGGAUAUAAUGACGGUACGUGAGGUGGCAGCCACGGUUAACCACGUGCCUGCAGCCGCGGUAAUGCGUAGGCGGCUGGCGUUAUCCGGAGUGACUGGGCGUAAAGGGGGCGUAGGUGGUUUCUUAAGUCAGAGGUGAAAGUCUACAGUACAACCGUAGUAAGCCUUUGAUACUGGGGAACUUGAGUGCAGCAGAGGAGAGUGGAAUUCCUGGUGUAGCGGUGAAAUGCUUAGAUAUUAGGAGGAACACCAGUUGCGAAGGCGGCUCUCUGGACUGUAACUGACACUGAGGCACGAAAGUGUGGGGAGCAAACAGGAUUAGAUACCCUUGUAGUC